AAUCAACGCUGGCGGCGCGCCUAACACAUGCAAGUCGCACGAGAAAGGCUCCUUCGGGGGCCGAGUACAGUGGCGCACGGGUGAGUAACACGUGGAUACCUGCCCUCAAGUGGGGAAUAACUUUGGGAAACCGGGGCUAAUACCGCAUACGUUCGAGAGAAGAAAGCAGCAAUGCGCUUGAGGAGGGGUCCGCGGCUGAUUAGCUAGUUGGUGGGGUAAAAGCCUACCAAGGCGAAGAUCAGUAGCCGGCCUGAGAGGGCACACGGCCACACUGGCACUGAGACACGGGCCAGACUCCUACGGGAGGCAGCAGUGGGGAAUCUUGCACAAUGGAGGAAACUCUGAUGCAGCGACGCCGCGUGAGCGUAUAAGCCUUUCGGGGUGUAAAGCUCUUACGCCAGGGACGAUAAUGACGGUAC
rnacentral:rRNA from 1 species